UGAGUUUAAGUUGGGCACGUAUUUUUUUUUAGCUCUUUGUGCGAGGAAGUUGAUGCCAAAAAAAAAAAAAAGGGAAUGAGUUUAUGCUGGAUAUUCAUUAAGGGCUUCUCAAAUACCUUUCCAGCUUAGGAAUGACUAUUGCUGGACAAAUGAGUUUGUUGCAGUGCUGUGAGGGUGUCUGUGGGCUUUGCAGGGCUUUUGAAUCAGUAACACAAUGCAAACAGCCCUCCCUGUGCUGAUGCCUGAACUGAUGUGCUGCGAGGCUCCCCUUCCAUCUUCAAAGUCCUAGCCCAGCUGCAAACAACACCUGAAGGCCCUUGAGGUGAGCCUGCUCAGUGAAGGACAACAAAGGUGGUGAAGGAUCCAGAGAAGAGUUCUGGAUGAUGGUGCAGAAGGUUGGUGUUGGCUGGGGAGAUGGUUUAAGGCUGUUUUGGAGCUCCCCUGGCCUGCUGUUCCGCACAAGGAGUCUGUCUGGCCCAUUCUGGAGCUGCGUCAGAGAUCUAGCAUUGAGCUGAGUCCGUGAAGGACGUGAUCUGCCCUUGGUUACGAGUAUUUCCAGGGAUUCUUCAGCAACGGGCACUCUGCCACAGCCAGCAAAUUGUGGGUGGACUGUUCCAGUGGACAACUGCUAAAAAUACACAGCAACCUCUUUGGAUGUCCAGCUACCAAAUCCCACUUUGCCAGCCCUGAAGCAAGCCUUCCCGGAACCCACAACAGAGCUGCCAGGGUGUCCGAGGUGUCUGACGGAGUAACCACCUCUUGUUGGGUUUCUGCUGCUCAUUUGAGGAGAGGCAAUGGAGCAGGGGUUACAGGAUUGCUGCUGAUCAAUCCACACUGGAAAGACACUGACACGGAGUGACAAAGAGACGCAGCGAGUGAAGGUUCCCAUCAGACAUUUACAGGAGGAAAGUUCUCCUCAUGUACCCAAUACUAGAAAAGACUCAAACAGUGGACAUCAGGAGAUAAAUCCUCUGGGCCUUUUCCACCAUGCAUGAUACAGAUCUAUCUUACAGAGUGCACCAGGGCAAGUGGAAAUGGAUUUUGCCCCUUAAGGAGCUGUUUGCAUUUAGAAAAAAAAAACCAAAAAACAGGUACCCCCACUGCUGAACACUUUAUCUCCUCUGUUACCUGCAGUAGUGACUACAAACAGCUGGAGCAGUUCCUAUUUUCCAGUGCAUAAUCAACUGGACUUUCUGGACCACACUCUUUGUACAUGACUUUCUUUCAGAAGAAAAGGGGAAAAGAAAAGGAAAAAAAAAAGAAAAGUCAAUUUAAAAAGUAAAUAGCAGGCCAGCUUUAAAACCACAGGUGGCAAGGGGUGCAGUCAGAAUGACUGCUUUUAUGCUGCCCAGAUCUCUAGUUAACAGCCUUUUUAAAGGCCAAAAAUACUAAUUGCAAAACUGUAUUCUCCUUAGUAGCCAUCUGCAAUUAUGUUUGUGGCCUCAGCUGCAAUAAUGCACCAAGCAAAAAGAUCUCAGCAGCAGCCUUCUGAGAAACACGAAGUUUCUCCACAGGGAUCUGACUGUUCAUUUACACAUUGCCAUCAAGAACACAGACUCGUCCUCUCUCCAGCAAUCCUGGAACUGAUGCUGGGCUCAUGGGCACCCACUUUUCAUUGCCGCCUUCAGCACUCUGCUUCGCUCACAGGAUGAAGAGCAACCUGCCUGAUGGUGCUGUGGUGCUGGAAUGCAGCACAGAGAGCACAAACACCAGGCACAGCACAAGGACUUUGCUUUGAGUAGGAGAAGAGAACAAAAUUUAACACAUUACUGAACAGUGUCAAAAAUGCCUCUUUAAACUGCAAAAUUCUUCUCCAGCUUUUUAGCAGACCUGCUGAUUCUCAAAUAACCAGCUGGAAUAACCUCUGGAGAUACUGCUUGAAGGGAAAUUAUUCUGUUGUAGAAGACAUAAAUAUGGGCUUCUCUCCCCACAAGGAGAGGAGGGCCCAGCCAGCAUGUGAGAGCAACACAGGCAGAGUGCUGAGACAGGAAAAAGGACAAAGCUGAAUUGCUAGGAGGUGUUAUAUGCUUAGGUUCUCUCUCAGGUUUGUUCCAGGCUGGUACAUUAGUGUAAACUGACUUUUUUUUUGCUGGCUCAGUACCUGACUCUGCUAACACUUUGAGUAAGGAAGAAUUUGUCAGAAUUAUUUUUUUAAAAACUUUUUUACCUCCAGGUUUAGAAACUCCCAAGAGAUUCAGAUUUUUCUCACCUCACUGCAUUUGGAUUAUUACUUACCUAUAUUGUGAAUAAAUUAUUAUAAUAUCUUUUUAGGAAAAAAAAAACUACAACCAAACCACCAACAUUUUUCUCAUCUGUCACUGCAUACCAAAUAAGCAGGUUUUAAGACCCUGGGGGGAUUUACAGCAAAUUUAUUUACCCUCAUUGAGGGAAACUACAUUCAACUUACCAAGGAAAAGUGUUGUAAUUCCCUUCUGCUGUACAGGCAUUAGCAAAUUGAAACCACUUCAGUAUGAAUUACCCUGCCAUUGCUAUAGAACUGGGAUUUUUUAGCUCUACUACAAAUAUCUUCUCCCCUGCAAGCUUUUUGAAAUACAUUACUACUCUGAUCUUCAUUUCUGCAGCAUGCAGGCCAUUCAUUGUUCUUCGUGGCAACUGGGUACCGAAAUUGUGCUAAAAGGCUUAGGAAAAUCAGAGUUUGUUCUGCCAGGGCAUUUGCAAGUAAACUCCAGCAAAUCACACCAAGAGAGGUACUUCUCCUUAGCUGCCUGUGCUAGACCUCAGAUAUGUUUUUUUUUUUCCCAUGGAAGUGAGGUGUGAAUCAGCAGGAUCCAGCUGCUAGAAGGAGCACUGUCUCUGCAAACAUGUCCUGAACUUCAGAAAGUGCCUGGCUGAGCUUCUGUGAAAUCAAAUCACUGAGCAGAAUUAGUUCUGUUCUAACGCAAACCAGGUCAGCUCCUCUGCUGCUUGCCAUUUGAGGAUUUCCAGGACUUCUGAUACGAUUAAUUGAUUGAAAGUAUUUUAUUGAGGGCAAAGGAGAGAGGCAAACAAACAAAAUUGCCUGUCAGAUAUCAUAAAAUACAGAGAGGAUGCUGCAGGAGCAUAAACCAUCACCUUAUCCCUCUGUUCAAACAGCAGAAUAUGCUCCACCUCCCAUUUGCUCAAUAAUCCCUAACAUCUCGCUGCUUAGGUUACUGGUGUAUAACAAAGCCACUUUUAUCCUGCUCUGCCCUUGCCUGGUGUUGAGAAAAAGGUAGGGAGAAAAGACAGGAUUCACUUUCAUGCAUAAAUCACUCUGUUAGCAGUCUCAUCACCUCCUGUUUCUUCAGCUCUUUGAGGCCUGCCAUUGGAGCAGGCUGAGAGGCACCUUGCUGAGUUACUAAUUGCCAAUACUCACACUCAGCGGCCGUCUUAUCAAUUGUCAGCACAUGAUAAAGCAGAUCGAUCGUGUGCCGAUCACCUGCUCCCUGAAUGGUCCAUGCUUCACAACAGAACUAAUUUUUCCUUUUCACCUGUUUCCAAGAUGUCUGCCCAAAAUUAAAAUAGGCAUACACAUUCCACUGCAGGGCCUCUCUCUUCAGGGGGUUCCAGUUUCUUCAGCUCCUGGAAUCUAACAGAGGCAGGUGCACAGUUCACAGAAAAAGGAUCCAUUUGUCAUGGGUCAGGAACGAGGCAGCUUUUCUCACUGACAAAUAUUUUGCUUCAUUAAAUUUCCUCUUCCUGCCUUUUUUUCCCCUUUUAAUCAAUUCUUUUCUUUGACUCACAUUGAACAGCCAGAGCAGAGCUUAGAUGACGGUUUGACCCUACAGUAAAUCCACCUCUAAUACAGGACUCAUGUCGCAGAAAUGCUGCAAAUGCACUCUCCCAACUCCAGUAUGGACUGAUCUGAUUUAAAUGCUCUUUCCCAACUCCAGUUUGGGUUUUAAAAUGUAGCAGGCUAAACUUUUGCAAGCAAAUUUUUAUCCUGGACUAGUUACCUCUUCUCUGCCACUCCCAACUGUAUGCUGCAUCAAUUGUCAUAGAUCCUUCUGCAGCUGGAAUAAGCUUCCUGUGUUUUAUUUUCUGCUUAUUUCAAUACAAAUUCAAUAAAAAGAUAGUUGAGAACUGU